GACGAACGCUGGCGGCGUGCUUAACACAUGCAAGUCGUACGGUAAGGCCCUUUCGGGGGUACACGAGUGGCGAACGGGUGAGUAACACGUGAGUAACCUGCCCACAACUUUGGGAUAACGCUAGGAAACUGGUGCUAAUACUGGAUAUGUGCUCCUGCUGCAUGGUGGGGGUUGGAAAGCUCCGGCGGUUGUGGAUGGACUCGCGGCCUAUCAGCUUGUUGGUGGGGUAGUGGCCUACCAAGGCGGCGACGGGUAGCCGGCCUGAGAGGGUGACCGGCCACAUUGGGACUGAGAUAAGGCCCAGACUCCUACGGGAGGCAGCAGUGGGGAAGAUUGAACAAUGGGCGCAAGCCUGAUGCAGCAACGCCGCGUGCGGGAUGACGGCCUUCGGGUUGAAAACCGCUUUCAGCAGGGACGAAGCUUUUUGUGACGGUACCUGCAGAAGAAGCACCGGCUAACUACGUG
rnacentral:rRNA from 1 species